AUUGAACGCUGGCGGCAGGCCUAACACAUGCAAGUCGAACGAGUGGCGGACGGGUGAGUAAUGUCUGGGAAACUGCCCGAUGGAGGGGGAUAACUACUGGAAACGGUAGCUAAUACCGCAUACCAUCGGAUGUGCCCAGUUGGGAUUAACUAGUAGGUGGGGUAAUGGCUCACCUAGGCGACGCGCCCUAGCUGGUCUGAGAGGAUGACCAUCCACACUGGAACUGAGACACGGUCCAGACUCCUACGUGAGGCAGCAGUGGGGAAUAUUGCACAAUGGGCGCAAGCCUGAUGCAGCCAUGCCGCGUGUAGGAAGAAGGCCUUCGGGUUGUAAAGUACUUUCAGCGAGGAGGCGUUACUCGCAGAAGAAGCACCGGCUCACUCCGUGCAAGCAGCCGCGGUAAUUC
rnacentral:rRNA from 1 species